CUCGUAGGCGGUUUGUCGCGUUGUUCGUGAAAACUCACAGCUUAACUGUGGGCGUGCGGGCGAUACGGGCAGACUAGAGUACUGCAGGGGAGACUGGAAUUCCUGGUGUAGCGGUGGAAUGCGCAGAUAUCAGGAGGAACACCAGUGGCGAAGGCGGCUUACUGGUCCAUUACUGACGCUGAGGUGCGAAAGCGUGGGGAGCAAACA
rnacentral:rRNA from 1 species